AAUUUGAGUGAUUAGUUUGUAGCUUGCUAUAAAUUAUGAUCUUGGGCUAUAGUUUAAUUUUAGUGGCAAACGGGUGAGUAAUAAUGAAUUAUCUGCCUCUAAGAGGAGGGCAACCACGAGAAAUUGUGGCUAAUACUUCAUAUAAUCCUGAUGGAAACAUCAGGAUGAAAGGGUCUGCUUCGGUAGAUCGCUUAGGGAUGAGUUCAUUUCCUAUUAGCUAGUUGGUGGGGUAAUGGCUUACCAAGGCGAAGAUGGGUAGCUGGCCUGAAAGGGCGAUCAGCCACACUGGCACUGAGAUACGGGCCAGACUCCUACGGGAGGCAGCAGUGGGGAAUUUUGGACAAUGGACGCAAGUCUGAUCCAGCAACGCCGCGUGAGGGAUGAAGGUUUUCGGAUUGUAAACCUCUUUCAGGGAAGAUGAGCUCUCUGGCGCAAGUCAGAGGGGGACAGUACUCCCAGAAGAAGCCACGGCUAACUACGUGCCAGCAGCCGCGGUAAUACGUAGGUGGCGAGCGUUACUCGGAAUUACUAGGUGUAAAGGGCAGGUAGGUGGCUUGAUAAGUUGGAAGUGAAAGCCCCGACAAAAUCGGGGAGGUCUUUCAAUACUGUCAGGCUUGAGUGUGGAAUGAGGAAUCAGAAUUCCUGGUGUAGCGGUGAAAUGCGUAGAUAUCAGGAGGAAUACCGAUGGCGAAAGCGGGUUCCUAGGCCACCACUGACACUGAACUGCGAAAGCGUGGGGAGCAAACAGGAUUAGAUACCCUGGUAGUCCACGCCCUAAACGAUGGAAACUUGAUAUGGGAGGUAUCGACCCCUUCCGUGUCGAAGCUAACGCAUUAAGUUUCCCACCUGGGGAGUACGGCCGCAAGGUUGAAACUCAAAGGAAUUGACGGGGGCCCGCACAAGCGGUGGAGCAUGUGGUUUAAUUCGACACAACGCGAAGAACCUUACCCGGGCUUGAACUGCUAGUUGUAUCCGGUCGAAAGAUCUGGAGAUCCGUAAGGAAGCUAGUAGAGGUGCUGCAUGGUUGUCGUCAGCUCGUGUCGUGAGAUGUAUGGUUAAGUCCCAUAACGAGCGCAACCCUUGCCUCAUGUUGCUAGUCCUGGUUUACCAGGACGCACUCUUGAGGGACUGCCUCCGUUGAGGGGGAGGAAGGCGAGGAUGACGUCAAAUCAUCAUGGCCUUUAUGUCCGGGGCUACACACGUGCUACAAUGGCUACUACAGAAGGAAACUAACCCGCAAGGGUAAGUCAAUCCCGAAAAGUAGCCCCAGUUCAGAUUGAGGGCUGCAAUUCGCCCUCAUGAAGGUGGAAUCGCUAGUAAUCGCUGAUCAGCAGGCAGCGGUGAAUACGUUCCCGGGCCUUGUACACACCGCCCGUCACACCAUGGAAGCUGACCAUAACAGAAUCUUGAAGGUCUUUUGAGAGAAGUUAUAGUUAGUGACUGGGGUGAAGUCGUAACAAGGUAGACGUACGAGAACGUGC
rnacentral:rRNA from 1 species